UACUCUUUGUCCCAUCUGAACCUGUAAUAUGGCACACUGCCUACAGUGUGCCCUCGAGGUAGGUACUAGGCUACUAGCAGCGCGUAUUAGUAGACGUAGUUCUUGACGAACAUUCCCUCCUUGGCCUCGGCGGCCUCGCCGUCGGAGGUGUACUUGCCGAGCUGCGCCAGGGAGUUGGCCUUGGCGCGGAGCAGCAGAGCAUCCUGAGCCGCCUUCACGUUCUCUGGCCGGCCGCCCCAUGUCUUGAGGCAGGUGUUCUGAAGAGCCCUGGCGUAGGAGAAGGACACAUGCCACGGGUUGGGGCUCUGGUUCAUGGCGUUCAGGUUCUGGGUCGCCUCAACCUCAGACUGCCCACCGGACAGGAACUGCAUUUUUGUUUGGGUGCAACAGGAAAACAAUUUCAGUCGUCAGAACACCAUCUGAAUUUCUUGGCAAGUAUAUGCAUAUGCAGCAAGAGGAAAAAAUGUUACAGACCAUGAUGCCAGGGACGGCAGGAGGGAUCCUUCUGCGGAGGAGCUUGAGGGUGUAGUCGGCAACUUGCUGAGGGGUGGCCCUGUCCUUGCACUCAGCACCAGGGGUGACCAUGCUGGGCUUGAGGAGGAUGCCCUCGAAUAUCACAUUGUUCUCAGCCAGGUAGUAGAAGGUCUCGGCCCACACCUUCUGUGCAACCUCGAAGGUCCUCUCGAUGCCGUGCUCACCGUCAAGAAGGAUUUCAGGCUCCACAAUUGGCACCAGGCCGUUGUCCUAGCGUAUCCACAGAUAGUAUAUGUUUAUAUACAUGCAUGUCGAAAGGAAACCAAUGGUCCUUUUUCAACUGGUGAGCGUUUCUGGCUGUUGAAAAUGGUAGGAUACCUGAGAAAUCGCGGCAUAGCGGGCAAGGCCCCAGGCAGCUUCCUUCACGGCAAGUUCAGAUGGACCAUUGGGGAUGCUGAUAACAGUGCGCCUGUGACAGAACUUCAUGUCAUAAACGGGACCUAUAUGUCACAUAACAGAAAGUAACUGCUAAUCCAGGGGCACAUUUAUCACCACUUGGCGAAGCGGGCACCAGCCUGGUAGUAGGCUGCUUCGCGUGAAGCGAGGCCAUCAAGACCUUGGCACCAUGACUCGUUGUUGGAACCAGCAAGUGGCACAAGACCCU
rnacentral:lncRNA from 1 species